rnacentral:rRNA from 2 species
GCAGUCGAACGAUGAUGCCCAGCUUGCUGGGUGGAUUAGUGGCGAACGGGUGAGUAACACGUGAGUAACCUGCCCCUGACUCUGGGAUAAGCGUUGGAAACGACGUCUAAUACUGGAUAUGAUCACCGGCCGCAUGGUCUGGUGGUGGAAAGAUUUUUUGGUUGGGGAUGGACUCGCGGCCUAUCAGCUUGUUGGUGAGGUAAUGGCUCACCAAGGCGACGACGGGUAGCCGGCCUGAGAGGGUGACCGGCCACACUGGGACUGAGACACGGCCCAGACUCCUACGGGAGGCAGCAGUGGGGAAUAUUGCACAAUGGGCGAAAGCCUGAUGCAGCAACGCCGCGUGAGGGAUGACGGCCUUCGGGUUGUAAACCUCUUUUAGUAGGGAAGAAGCGAAAGUGACGGUACCUGCAGAAAAAGCACCGGCUAACUACGUGCCAGCAGCCGCGGUAAUACGUAGGGUGCAAGCGUUGUCCGGAAUUAUUGGGCGUAAAGAGCUCGUAGGCGGUUUGUCGCGUCUGCUGUGAAAUCCCGAGGCUCAACCUCGGGCUUGCAGUGGGUACGGGCAGACUAGAGUGCGGUAGGGGAGAUUGGAAUUCCUGGUGUAGCGGUGGAAUGCGCAGAUAUCAGGAGGAACACCGAUGGCGAAGGCAGAUCUCUGGGCCGUAACUGACGCUGAGGAGCGAAAGCAUGGGGAGCGAACAGGAUUAGAUACCCUGGUAGUCCAUGCCGUAAACGUUGGGCGCUAGAUGUAGGGACCUUUCCACGGUUUCUGUGUCGUAGCUAACGCAUUAAGCGCCCCGCCUGGGGAGUACGGCCGCAAGGCUAAAACUCAAAGGAAUUGACGGGGGCCCGCACAAGCGGCGGAGCAUGCGGAUUAAUUCGAUGCAACGCGAAGAACCUUACCAAGGCUUGACAUACACCGGAAACGGCCAGAGAUGGUCGCCCCCUUGUGGUCGGUGUACAGGUGGUGCAUGGUUGUCGUCAGCUCGUGUCGUGAGAUGUUGGGUUAAGUCCCGCAACGAGCGCAACCCUCGUUCUAUGUUGCCAGCGGGUUAUGCCGGGGACUCAUAGGAGACUGCCGGGGUCAACUCGGAGGAAGGUGGGGAUGACGUCAAAUCAUCAUGCCCCUUAUGUCUUGGGCUUCACGCAUGCUACAAUGGCCGGUACAAAGGGCUGCGAUACCGUAAGGUGGAGCGAAUCCCAAAAAGCCGGUCUCAGUUCGGAUUGAGGUCUGCAACUCGACCUCAUGAAGUCGGAGUCGCUAGUAAUCGCAGAUCAGCAACGCUGCGGUGAAUACGUUCCCGGGCCUUGUACACACCGCCCGUCAAGUCAUGAAAGUCGGUAACACCCGAAGCCGGUGGCCUAAC